AUUAUUUUUUUUAAUUUUAUUUUAUUUUUAAACUUUACAAUAUUGUAUUAGUUUUGCCAAAUAUUGAAAUGAAUCCGCCACAGGUAUACCUGUGUUCCCCACCCUGAACCCUCCUCCCUCCUCCCUCCCCAUACCCUCCCUCUGGGUCAUCUUAUGAUCCCUCAUAAAGUUCCUUCUGGAACAAGAUUCCCUUUUCUCCUCAAGCCAGCCCCCAGUAGGUUCACCUUUACAGUUUCUGGAACUAGAACAAGAGAGCUCCAGCCACAACUAGUGUUGGCAAGGGAACCAAAAAUAGGCCGUGGACCUCCCUGGUGGCUCAGUGGUGAAGAAUCUGCCUGCCAGUGCAUGAGACAACAUGUUUGGUCCCUGGUCCGGGAGGACCCCGAUGCCUCGGAGCAGCUAAACUCAUGUGCCACAACUGCUGAGCCUGUGCUCUAGAGCUUGGGAGCCACAACUACUGAAGCCUGUGAGCUCUAGAGCUUAUGCUCUGCAAUAAGAGAGGCCAUGACAAUGAGAAGCUCGUGCACUGCAACUAGACAGUGGCCUCCCCUCACCUCAACAAGAGAAAAGUCCACACAAAAAGGAAGACUCAGCACAGCCAAAGAAAUUAAAAAAUAAAUAAAUGGUAAAACAAACA
rnacentral:lncRNA from 1 species